rnacentral:misc_RNA from 1 species
UUUUAUAUUGCUUGUUUUAUCUGACGAUACAAAUUCAGAGUAUGUGGACUCCGGCGAGCUCGCGUCGGCAGAAUUGAUCUUCCGCCAACGGCUGUUUCCAACGUCUCGCCGAAGCAACGUCGAGUUGUCAAGGGUGGGAGUUCCUUUUCAGGAGUCUCGGUAAUGAUCCUUCCGCAGGUUCACCUACGGAAA